rnacentral:rRNA from 1 species
AGUGAACGCUGGCGGUAGGCCUAACACAUGCAAGUCGAACGGCAGCACAGUAAGAGCUUGCUCUUACGGGUGGCGAGUGGCGGACGGGUGAGGAAUACAUCGGAAUCUACUUUUUCGUGGGGGAUAACGUAGGGAAAUUUACGCUAAUACCGCAUACGACCUACGGGUGAAAGAAGGGGAUCUUCGGACCUUGCGCGAUUGAAUGGGCCGAUGUCGGAUUAGCUAGUUGGCGGGGUAAAGGCCCACCAAGGCGACGAUCCGUAGCUGGUCUGAGAGGAUGAUCAGCCACACUGGAACUGAGACACGGUCCAGACUCCUACGGGAGGCAGCAGUGGGGAAUAUUGGACAAUGGGCGCAAGCCUGAUCCAGCCAUACCGCGUGGGUGAAGAAGGCCUUCGGGUUGUAAAGCCCUUUUGUUGGGAAAGAAAAGCAGCAGGUUAAUACCCCGCUGUUCUGACGGUACCCAAAGAAUAAGCACCGGCUAACUUCGUG